UGCGUAGGCGGGCUAAUAAGUCAGUGGUGAAAUCUUCCGGCUCAACCGGGAACCUGCCAUUGAUACUGUUAGUCUUGAGUUCGGUUGAGGUAGGCGGAAUGUGUAAUGUAGCGGUGAAAUGCUUAGAUAUUACACAGAACACCAAUUGCGUAGGCAGCUUACUAGACCGACACUGACGCUGAGGCACGAAAGCGUGGGGAGCGAACAGGAUUAGUACCCUGGUAGUCC
rnacentral:rRNA from 1 species